rnacentral:rRNA from 1 species
GAUGAACGCUGGCGGCGUGCCUAAUACAUGCAAGUCGAGCGAACAAAUGCGGCUCUUGCUCCGCUGACGUUAGCAACGGACGGGUGAGUAACACGUGGAUAACCUAUCUCUAAGACUUGAAUAACUUCGAGAAACCGUAGCUAAUGCCGGAUACGAUAUUGACCCGCAUGGUUCUAUAGUGAAAGACCGUUUUGCUAUCGCUUAUAGAUCGAUCCGCGCCGCAUUAGCUAGUUGGUAAGGUAACGGCUUACCAAGGCAACGAUGCGUAGCCGACCUGAGAGGGUGGUCGGCCACACUGGAACUGAGACACGGUCCAGACUCCUACGGGAGGCAGCAGUAGGGAAUCUUCCGCAGUGGGCGAAAGCCUGACGGAGCAACGGCGCGUGAGUGAUGAAGAUUUUCGGAUCGUAAAACUCUGUUAUUAGGGAAGAACAAAUGUGUAAGUAACUAUGCACGUCUUGACGGUACCUAAUCAGAAAGCCACGGCUAACUACGUG